AGAGUUUGAUCCUGGCUCAGGACGAACGCUGGCGGCGUGCUUAACACAUGCAAGUCGAACGGAAAGGCCCCUUUGGGGGUACUCGAGUGGCGAACGGGUGAGUAACACGUGAGUAACCUGCCCUUGACUUCGGGAUAACUUCAGGAAACUGGGGCUAAUACCGGAUAGGAAUCCUUGCUGCAUGGUGGGGGUUGGAAAGCUUCGGCGGUUUUGGAUGGACUCGCGGCUUAUCAGCUUGUUGGUGGGGUAGUGGCUUACCAAGGCUUUGACGGGUAGCCGGCCUGAGAGGGCGACCGGCCACAUUGGGACUGAGAUACGGCCCAGACUCCUACGGGAGGCAGCAGUGGGGAAUAUUGCACAAUGGGCGGAAGCCUGAUGCAGCAACGCCGCGUGCGGGAUGACGGCCUUCGGGUUGUAAACCGCUUUCAGCAGGGGCGAAGCUUUUGUGACGGUACCUGCAGAAGAAGCACCGGCUAACUACGUGCCAGCAGCCGCGGUGAUACGUAGGGUGCGAGCGUUGUCCGGAUUUAUUGGGCGUAAAGAGCUCGUAGGUGGUUGAUUGCGUCGGAAGUGAAAACUUGGGGCUUAACCCUGAGCGUGCUUUCGAUACGGGUUGACUUGAGGAAGGUAGGGGAGAAUGGAAUUCCUGGUGGAGCGGUGGAAUGCGCAGAUAUCAGGAGGAACACCAGUGGCGAAGGCGGUUCUCUGGACCUUUCCUGACGCUGAGGAGCGAAAGCGUGGGGAGCGAACAGGCUUAGAUACCCUGGUAGUCCACGCUGUAAACGGUGGGUACUAGGUGUGGGGUCCAUUCCACGGAUUCCGUGCCGUAGCUAACGCAUUAAGUACCCCGCCUGGGGAGUACGGCCGCAAGGCUAAAACUCAAAGGAAUUGACGGGGCCCCGCACAAGCGGCGGAGCAUGCGGAUUAAUUCGAUGCAACGCGAAGAACCUUACCUGGGUUUGACAUGGACUGGGAGUGCUCAGAGAUGGGUACGCCUCCUUGUGGGGCUGGUUCACAGGUGGUGCAUGGCUGUCGUCAGCUCGUGUCGUGAGAUGUUGGGUUAAGUCCCGCAACGAGCGCAACC
rnacentral:rRNA from 1 species